rnacentral:rRNA from 1 species
CCUACGGGUGGCAGCAGUGAGGAAUAUUGGUCAAUGGGCGCGAGCCUGAACCAGCCAAGUCGCGUGAGGGAAGACGGCCCUACGGGUUGUAAACCUCUUUUGCCGGGGAGCAACGGCCGCCACGUGUGGCGCCACUGAGAGUACCCGGAGAAAAAGCAUCGGCUAACUACGUGCCAGCAGCCGCGGUAAUACGGAGGAUGCGAGCGUUAUCCGGAUUUCUUGGGUUUAAGGGGUGCGCAGGCGGGGCGUUAAGUCAGUGGUCAAAUGUAGGGGCUCAACCCCUGCCCGCCAUUGAAACUGGCGGGCUUGAGUGGAAGAGAAGUAUGCGGAAUGCGUGGUGUAGCGGUGAAAUGCAGAGAGAUCACGCAGAACCCCGAUUGCGAAGGCAGCAUGCCGGCUUCCGACUGACGCUGAAGCACGAAAGCGUGGGGAUCGAACAGGAUUAGAUACCCGUGUAGUC